AUUGAACGCUGGCGGCAUGCCUUACACAUGCAAGUCGAACGGCAGCACGGGAGCAAUCCUGGUGGCGAGUGGCGAACGGGUGAGUAAUGUAUCGGAACGUGCCCAGUCGUGGGGGAUAACGUAGCGAAAGUUACGCUAAUACCGCCUACGAUCUAUGGGUGAAAGCAGGGGAUCGAAAGACCGUGCGCGACUGGAGCGGCCGAUAUCGGAUUAGGUAGUUGGUGGGGUAAAAGCUUACCAAGCCUACGAUCUGUAGCUGGUCUGAGAGGGCGACCAGCCACACUGGGACUGAGACACGGCCCAGACUCCUACGGGAGGCAGCAGUGGGGAAUUUUGGACAAUGGGCGAAAGCCUGAUCCAGCCAUGCCGCGUGCAGGAUGAAGGCCUUCGGGUUGUAAACUGCUUUUGUACGGAACGAAACGGCCUUUUCUAAUACAGGAGGCUAGUGACGGUACCGUAAGAAUAAGCACCGGCUAACUACGUGCCAGCCGCCGCAGUAA
rnacentral:rRNA from 1 species